rnacentral:rRNA from 1 species
GACGAACGCUGGCGGCGUGCCUAACACAUGCAAGUCGAACGCAGUGGCGAACGGGUGAGUAACGCGUAGGUAACUGCCUCAUAGCGGGGGAUAAAUAUUGGAAACGGUAGCUAAUACCGCAUACUGUGAGAUGGACCUGCGUUGUAUUAGCUAGUGGGUGGGGUAACGGCUCACCAAGGCGACGAUCCGUAGCUGGUUUGAGAGGAGGACCAGCCACACUGGGACUGAGACACGGCCCAGACUCCUACGGGAGGCAGCAGUGGGGAAUCUUCGGCAAUGGACGAAAGUCUGACCGAGCAACGCCGCGUGAGUGAAGAAGGUUUUCGGGUCGUAAAACUCUGUUAGUAGAGAGGCGGUAUCUGACCAGAAAGCCACGGCUAACUACGUGCCAGCAGCCGCGGUAAUAC